CUCACCUAUUUUGUAUCCAUUAAAUCUGCAUCAAUAUAUGACAGACAAUUCAGGCAGAUAACACAUCAAAGCAUUACGACAUGUGUAAACCUCAUUCAUGAAAGUAGUUUUUUUUAUCUGCAGUGCACAAUGAAGUUUCAUCCAGGAAGUUCUAGUGCAUUGGAUUUAAGCAAAAGUUUAUUUUAUUUCAUUACAAAAAUAUUUUUUUUCCUUAAUGAUUUCAAAUGGUGGGUUUACCUCUCCUACCUAGGAGUGGUCAUACAAUACAUAAUUAAAGAAUUUAUUUUAUUUUAUUUUAUUAAUACUGAAUAGCAUAUUCCAGCAGCAUAUUAAAAGCUCUUUUAAGAAAAGACAAAAAAAACCCAAAGGCCUAAAAAGGAGAUCUACAGUUAUCAUUUUUAAAUAUUUUUUUUUAGUUAUAGAUACAGAAGAAAUUUAGACAGCAGUAAAAUAUUAUUAUUAUUAUUAUUAUUAUUUUGUCCUUCAGGUCUGCCCUGUGCAUUUUUCUGAUUUCAACCAUGUAUUAAAUAAACCACAAAAAACGCCACAGGGACAUGCUAGGCAAACGAUGAGCUAACGAGCAUGAAGAUGUCUAGG